ACGUAGGGUGCGAGCGUUAAUCGGAAUUACUGGGCGUAAAGCGUGCGCAGGCGGUUGUGCAAGACAGAUGUGAAAUCCCCGGGCUCAACCUGGGAACUGCAUUUGUGACUGGCGGGCUGGAGUACGGCAGAGGGGGGUGGAAUUCCACGUGUAGCAGUGAAAUGCGUAGAGAUGUGGAGGAACACCGAUGGCGAAGGCAGCCCCCUGGGCCGAUACUGACGCUCAUGCACGAAAGCGUGGGGAGCGAACGG
rnacentral:rRNA from 1 species